AUAAUACUCCCUCCGUCCGGAAUUACUUGUCAUCAAAAUGGAUGUGUCUAGAACUAAAAUACACCUAGAUACAUCCAUUUCAAUGACAAGUAUUUUCGGACGGAGGGAGUAGUAG
rnacentral:pre_miRNA from 1 species